AGCGAACGCUGGCGGCAGGCUUAACACAUGCAAGUCGAACGGGCAUCUUCGGAUGUCAGUGGCAGACGGGUGAGUAACACGUGGGAACGUACCCUUCGGUUCGGAAUAACUCAGGGAAACUUGAGCUAAUACCGGAUACGCCCUUUUGGGGAAAGGUUUACUGCCGAAGGAUCGGCCCGCGUCUGAUUAGCUUGUUGGUGGGGUAACGGCCUACCAAGGCGACGAUCAGUAGCUGGUCUGAGAGGAUGAUCAGCCACACUGGGACUGAGACACGGCCCAGACUCCUACGGGAGGCAGCAGUGGGGAAUAUUGGACAAUGGGCGCAAGCCUGAUCCAGCCAUGCCGCGUGAGUGAUGAAGACCUUAGGGUUGUAAAGCUCUUUUGUCCGGGACGAUAAUGACGGUACCGGAAGAAUAAGCCCCGGCUAACUUCG
rnacentral:rRNA from 1 species